CAGUAGCCACGGGAAUACGUAGGUGGCAAGCGUUGUCCGGAAUUAUUGGGCGUAAAGGGCUCGCAGGCGGUUUCUUAAGUCUGAUGUGAAAGCCUCCGGCUCAACCGGGGAGGGUCAUUGGAAACUGGGAAACUUGAGUGCAGAAGAGGAGAGUGGAAUUCCACGUGUAGCGGUGAAAUGCGUAGAGAUGUGGAGGAACACCAGUGGCGAAGGCGACUCUCUGGUCUGUAACUGACGCUGAGGAGCGAAAGCGUGGGGAGCGAACAGGAUUAGAUACCCCCGUAGUCCCUGUCUCUUAUAC
rnacentral:rRNA from 1 species